CUCACCCGCUGGCUCUCUCGUCGCGCUGUCACUUCAUUUGCAGUUUUCAGUUCCUUUUUAAUUUACUUUAACCAUGUUUUUCUUAGCUUCUGUUAAUUCUUUAAUUUCUAUAUUUAGAAAAACGUCUCUUUUGUUCUUUUAUUUGCAUUCUUUUUCAUUUUUUUCUAAUACGUCUUGCUCCAAAAAAACUGAGCUACAAUGAGGAAGAACUGUGAAAUGUGGCACCGCUUCUUCUUUAUUUAUUUAUAGAUUUAUUUAUUUUAUUAUUUAUGGAACACUUGACGAACUGCCCUCAUGGUGAGAGUGGGACAUCGCCUAUAACAUUUGUGGGAGAAUAAGUACACUUUCUUCCGCUGUCCAAAAGGGGCGCACUCCAAAGAUUUGGUACUGACUGGUUGUAACAGCAACUCCAUGUGGAAGGUUUGUGUCUUCCAGUGGAGCUGCUGUUGCGUGCAGAUAGUCACCUUUAUCUCCUUUGGUUCUGAGUGAAAAUACGGUCCUAAUUUAAUUUAUGUGGCUGUUUAAUUUUAUCCAUGUUGGCAGAAAGCAUAUUUAACCCAGGGUCUAGGACACAGGGUGAUGACCUAUGAAUUGACAGCCAGUGUUUGCAGUCCAGCUGCCUGUCAGUUCUGUAGGCCACUGUCCUGUUUAUCCUACUAAACACACACUGGUUUGCACAGAAUGCAGGGCAUUGUAUAAAUGUUGAACUGGAAUGUUUUGGGAAUAUUUAUGUAUAUAUUCUGAUGUAGCCAUUAUGAUUUAUUUGAUAUUAUAUGUAUGCAUUUGUUUUAUUUGACUGUAUUUAAUUUCAUGUAAACAUUAAAUUAUUUCAAAAUCAAGUUCUUCUUUAAUAAUAAAUUAAUGUGACUUUCA